rnacentral:rRNA from 1 species
UACAGAGGUCUCAAGCGUUGUUCGGAUUCAUUGGGCGUAAAGGGUGCGUAGGUGGCGCGGUAAGUCGGGUGUGAAAUCUCGGGGCUUAACUCCGAAACUGCAUUCGAUACUGCGGUGCUUGAGGACUGGAGAGGAGACUGGAAUUCAUGGUGUAGCAGUGAAAUGCGUAGAGAUCAUGAGGAAGACCAGUGGCGAAGGCGGGUCUCUGGACAGUUCCUGACACUGAGGCACGAAGGCCAGGGGAGCAAACGGG